rnacentral:tRNA from 1 species
GGAGAGGUGUCCGAGUGGCUGAAGGAGCACGCUUGGAAAGCGUGUGUGCAGGCAACUGUACCGCGGGUUCGAAUCCCGCUCUCUCCGCCA